rnacentral:rRNA from 1 species
AGUGAACGCUGGCGGUAGGCCUAACACAUGCAAGUCGAACGGCAGCACAGUAAGAGCUUGCUCUUACGGGUGGCGAGUGGCGGACGGGUGAGGAAUACAUCGGAAUCUACUUUUUCGUGGGGGAUAACAUAGGGAAACUUACGCUAAUACCGCAUACGACCUACGGGUGAAAGCAGGGGAUCUUCGGACCUUGCGCGAUUGAAUGAGCCGAUGUCGGAUUAGCUAGUUGGCGGGGUAAAGGCCCACCAAGGCGACGAUCCGUAGCUGGUCUGAGAGGAUGAUCAGCCACACUGGAACUGAGACACGGUCCAGACCCCUACGGGAGGCAGCAGUGGGGAAUAUUGGACAAUGGGCGCAAGCCUGAUCCAGCCAUACCGCGUGGGUGAAGAAGGCCUUCGGGUUGUAAAGCCCUUUUGUUGGGAAAGAAAAGCAGCAGGUUAAUACCCCGCUGUUCUGACGGUACCCAAAGAAUAAGCACCGGCUAACUUCGU